UAAAUGAACUUAAAUUCAACUUAAAAUAUUUUUUAAACAAAUAAAGUAAAAAAUAAUAUUUUAAAGUUAAUUAAUAGAGGUUCAGCUCUAUUAAUAAAGGAUACAACCUAAAAUAAUGAAUAAUGACUAUAUUAAUUAAAGAAAUUAAUUUUGUGGGCUUAAAAGCAGCAAUCAAAACAAAAGCGUUAAAGCUUAAUUUAAUAAAUCUUAUUAUAACAAUAAAAUAAUCUUAAUUCAUUAAAACUAUUAAGUCAAUCUAUUUAAAUAGAUGUGAUUAUACUAGAAUAAGUAAUAAGAAAAUAUUCUCUUAGUGUAAGUGUACAUCAGAACGAAUACCUCACUGAUAAUUAACGAACCUUUUGAGGGAAAAAUAAUAUUUUACAAGAAAAGAUUAUUUAACCAAUCGUUAACCCGACACAGGAACACACUAGAAAGAUUAAAAAUAUAGGAAGGAACUCGGCAAACACGAACUUCGCCUGUUUACCAAAAACAUCGCCUCUUGCAACUAAAAUAUAAGAGGUCCUGCCUGCCCAGUGACACUAAGUUUAACGGCCGCGGUAUUAUGACCGUGCAAAGGUAGCGUAAUCACUUGUCUUUUAAAUAAAGACCAGUAUGAAUGGCAAGACGAAAGUUCAACUGUCUCCCUAAAUUAAUCAAUGAAAUUGAUUUUUCCGUGCAGAAGCGGAAAUAUAACUAUAAGACGAGAAGACCCUAUGGAGCUUUAAAUAUAUAAUCAAUUGCAUAACAUAAAAUCCGAAAGAUAAAAUAUAAAAUAAAACAGUAUGAUUAAAAUUUUAGGUUGGGGCGACCACGGAGAAAAACAAAACCUCCGAGAUGAAGAGAAUAUCUUAAUUCAAGAACUACAGUUCUAAAAAAUAAAAUAUUUAACAUAAUUGAUCCAAUAUAUUGAUCAACGAACCAAGUUACCCUAGGGAUAACAGCGCAAUCCUCUCCAAGAGUCCCUAUCGACGAGCGGGUUUACGACCUCGAUGUUGGAUCAGGACACCCCAAUGGUGCAGCCGCUAUUAAAGGUUCGUUUGUUCAACGAUUAAAGU
rnacentral:rRNA from 1 species